rnacentral:rRNA from 1 species
AUUGGGCGUAAAGCGAGCGCAGGCGGUUUCUUAAGUCUGAUGUGAAAGCCCCCGGCUCAMCCGGGGAGGGUCAUUGGAAACUGGGAGACUUGAGUGCAGAAGAGGAGAGUGGAAUUCCAUGUGUAGCGGUGAAAUGCGUAGAUAUAUGGAGGAACACCAGUGGCGAAGGCGGCUCUCUGGUCUGUAACUGACGCUGAGGCUCGAAAGCGUGGGGAGCGAACAGGAUUAGAUACCCUGGUAGUCCACGCCGUAAACGAUGAGUGCUAAGUGUUGGAGGGUUUCCGCCCUUCAGUGCUGCAGCAAACGCAUUAAGCACUCCGCCUGGGGAGUACGACCGCAAGGUUGAAACUCAAAGGAAUUGACGGGGGCCCGCACAAGCGGUGGAGCAUGUGGUUUAAUUCGAAGCAACGCGAAGAACCUUACCAGGUCUUGACAUCCUUUGACCACUCUAGAGAUAGAGCUUCCCCUUCGGGGGCAAARUGACMGGUGGUGCAUGGUUGUCSUCMGCUCGUGKCSUGAGAUGUUGGGUUAAGUCCCGCAACSAGCGCAACCCUUAUUGKUAGUUGCCAUCAUUUAGUUGGGCACUCUAGCGAGACUGSCGGUGACAAACCGGARGAAGGUGGGGAWGAMGUCAAAUCAUCAUGCCCCUUAUGACCUGGGCUACACACGUGCUACAAUGGGAAGUACAACGAGUUGCGAAGUCGCGAGGSUAAGCUAAUCUCUUAAAGCUUCUCUCAGUUCGGAUUGUAGGCUGCAACUCGCCUACAUGAAGCCGGAAUCGCUAGUAAUCGCGGAUCAGCACGCCGCGGUGAAUACGUUCCCGGGCCUUGUACACACCGCCCGUCACACCACGAGAGKUUGUAACACCCG